GGAAUCUCAUUUAAGGCUCGGAGA
rnacentral:siRNA from 1 species